rnacentral:rRNA from 1 species
GACGAACGCUGGCGGCGUGCUUAACACAUGCAAGUCGAACGGAAAGGCCCUGCUUUUGUGGGGUGCUCGAGUGGCGAACGGGUGAGUAACACGUGAGUAACCUGCCCUUGACUUUGGGAUAACUUCAGGAAACUGGGGCUAAUACCGGAUAGGAGCUCCUGCUGCAUGGUGGGGGUUGGAAAGUUUCGGCGGUUGGGGAUGGACUCGCGGCUUAUCAGCUUGUUGGUGGGGUAGUGGCUUACCAAGGCUUUGACGGGUAGCUGGCCUGAGAGGGUGACCGGCCACAUUGGGACUGAGAUACGGCCCAGACUCCUACGGGAGGCAGCAGUGGGGAAUAUUGCACAAUGGGCGGAAGCCUGAUGCAGCAACGCCGCGUGCGGGAUGACGGCCUUCGGGUUGUAAUCCGCUUUCGCCUGUGACGAAGCGUGAGUGACGGUAAUGGGUAAAGAAGCACCGGCUAACUACGUG